GAUGAACGCUGGCGGCGUGCCUAAUACAUGCAAGUCGAACGAAACUUCUUUAUCACCGAGUGCUUGCACUCACCGAUAAAGAGUUGAUUGGCGAACGGGUGAGUAACACGUGGGCAACCUGCCCAAAAGAGGGGGAUAACACUUGGAAACAGGUGCUAAUACCGCAUAACCAUAGUUACCGCAUGGUAACUAUGUAAAAGGUGACUAUACUACCGCUUUUGGUUGGUCCCGCGGCGCUUUAGCUAGUUGGUAGGGUAAAGGCUUACCAGGGCAAUGAUGCGUAGCCGAAUUGAGAGGUUGAUCGGCCACAUUGGGCUUGAAACACGGCCCAAACUCCUACGGGAGGCAGCAGUAGGGAAUCUUCCACAAUGGGCGAAAUCCUGAUGGAGCAACGCCGCGUGGGUGAAGAAGGUUUUCGGAUCGUAAAACCCUGUUGUUAGAGAAGACAGUGCGUGAGAGUAACUGUUCACGUUUCGACGGUAUCUAACCGGAAAGCCACGGCUAACUACGUG
rnacentral:rRNA from 1 species